rnacentral:rRNA from 1 species
CUGGUUGAUCCUACCAGUAAUAUACGCUUGUCUCAAAGGUUAAGCCAUGCAUGUCUAAGUACAAACAUAAAUGAAUGUGAAACCGCAUAAGGCUCAGUAUAACAGCUAUAAUUCACAAGAUCAUCCUACCACUAGUUACUUGGAUAACUGUGGAAAAUCCAGAGCUAAUACAUGCAACAUGCCGGGACUGUUGCCCUCGCGGGUAGCUGAACUGGUGCACUUAUUAGUUAAACCAAUCGCCUCCGGGCGGCUUGAGUUGAAGUCUGGAUAAGGACGCAGAUCGUAUGGUCGCUUGUCGACUGACGACAGAUCUUUCAAAUGUCUGCCCUAUCAACUAUUGAUGGUAGUGUAGAGGACUACCAUGGUUGCGACGGGUAACGGGGAAUCAGGGUUCGAUUCCGGAGAGGGAGCCUGAGAAAUGGCUACCACAUCCAAGGAAGGCAGCAGGCGCGUAAAUUACCCAAUCCCAGUACCGGGGAGGUAGUGACGGAAAUAACAAUAUGGACCUCUCUAACGAUGGUCCAUAAUUGGAAUGAGUUUGAGUAUAAAUCCUUCAACAAGGAUCAAGUGGAGGCAAGUCUGGUGCCAGCAGCCGCGGUAAUUCCGUCAUAAACGCACCUG